CAAGCCAGGCCUAUGCUCGAAUACAUUAGCAUGGAAUAAUAGAAUGACGUGUGGGUUUUAUUUUGUUGGUUUCUAGGACCGCCGUAANUGAUUAAUAGGGAUAGUCGGGGGCAUCAGUAUUCAAAUGUCAGAGGUGAAAUUCUUGGAUUUAUUGAAGACUAACUACUCGGAAAGCAUUUGCCAAGGAUGUUUUCAUUAAUCAGUGAACGAAAGUUAGGGGAUCGAAGACGUACCGUCGUAGUCUUAACCAUAAGCUAUGCCGACUAGGGAUCGGGCGAUGUUAUCUUUUUGACUCGCUCGGCACCUUACGAGAAAUCAAAGUCUUUGGGUUCUGGGGGGUCGCAAGGCUGAAACUUAAAGAAAUUGACGGAAG
rnacentral:rRNA from 1 species